rfam:Neocallimastix californiae strain G1 LY90scaffold_47, whole genome shotgun sequence.
AUUCAAAUAUUGUAGUGGUAAUUACGUUUGCUUUACAAGCAAAAUGUCUCUGGUUUGAACCCGGGUUUGAGUA